rnacentral:lncRNA from 1 species
GUUUCUCUACCAUGGUGAUGCUGUAGAGCAUCAGCAUUCACAAACACUUAACAUGGAAGACAUUUAUAGGGACAAGAAGAUGCAGUAACAUCACAAAGUGGAAGGAACUCUGUGAAUGCAGAUCUCUUGACUGUUCAAAGGCUCAGACUGCUCGUUGGAAGAUUAACGAUGAUUCACAGAAAUGAAAACUAAGAAGAUUCUGAGCGCCGCUAUCUACAGAACCAUUAUGAAAUGUUAGCUCUGUGGCACCAGAAUCCCCAUACUUCCAGAUUGACGGGAAUUCGGGGCCGGAGCAGACAUUCUAACUAAAUCAUCAGUGGGGAGAGAUUUCAUUGAGUGUGGGUAGAGACAUGAACAUCUGGGCUAGAGUCUGAAGGAAAUGAGAAGUGCUUUGAAAUGGAAUCUAUUCAAGACAAGAAGUUUUCUUUCUCGGUUUAAUAAGAGCAUGUGAACUCUUAUGGAUCAUAACAAAACGGCAUGAACUGUGAUUUGUGGCUCUGCCUCACACAUGAAGAUGUGUUUGUUAAAGGGACUAGAACCUCAAGUUGGACUUGAUUGUCUACAAGGUUAAGAUGGAUGACCGAGAGUCAAAUGACCCUAACAAACAUUCUCUGACAUUGGACUUGGCAAGAGAGAAGCUGCGCAGGGAUGAUUAUAUGUAUUCAUAUCUGUGCAUCGAUUGAAAUGUAUUUUUAAUUUGGUGAAAUGGCUAUAGCUUUUUGCGCAGACAUUGAGUGAAGAUGUCAGAAUCGGUCAAUUUCUGGUUUAGAGAGUUUAGAAGGGACUGACAUCAAGCAGGAAAGAUCUAAACUAAGAACUAAAUUAAUAUGGCAAAUACUUCAGGGUUUAAAUUUUUCAGAAGGUAGGACUCUCACAUUUCAAAUGACUUUUGUCCUUGAUAUAAUGUCUAUAGUUAUUUUCUUUAUGGUGAGCUAUGUUAUUUGGACUAGGUAAAAAUAUAGAUAUGCAUAUUGCUAACUUAGGUGAGGGAAAAUUUCUUACUUUGUAAUUGUAAUCAACAUUAUAUCAAAUUCUAGAAGUAAUUUAAGUCUGGGGAUGGGUUGUGUCUACUGGAGAGUAUUUGGUAUAAGUGUUCCUCUUACAGAAAUAUUUAGGUAGAAAUGCUAUAAGUUUGUUAUUUAUGUUAUUAGGAGCACAGAACAUAUUUAAUACAUGGAUAAGUACACUUGGUAUUACAACAGUCAUGCAGUUUUCAGGACGUUUAGUUAUUAUCUUCUGCACUUGCUAACAAUCACAAACAAAUUAUUCUUUUGUGUAGAAUUUUAUAACACUAUGUAAUUGUCUAAAGUCAGUAACUUGUACUGAUAAAGAAUAGGGACCCAUUAGAAAUACUUCAUAAAAAAUGUUAGACACAAGUGAUUAGCUUCCUUAAAGUUUGGAUCCAUUAUAAAAUAUCCUUUUUUUCCCCUAGUAGUCAUUUUUAUGUUGCUUGUAUUUUAGACCAUAAUUAUAUAAAAGACAAAAUAUUUCUAAAAUUCCAUAUAUAAAAUAUCAUUUUAAAAUGCAUCAGGAACCAUAACUUUACUUCUGUUAUGAAUCACAAUGUGGAAAAUCUACUGAAGUAAAACAGUACUAACCGCAUGGUAAAAACUAAGCAUCGUGCUCCCUCCUCUGCUUAUGAAACUUGAAGGAAAUGUCAAGAAACAGAUCACUAUUGAAGACAAGGACCUGAGUCCCGAUGGCAAGCUAUGGCCACCUGAGGACACGUGCCAUAACUCAGACACUUUUGACUUUCUCUAACGAGUGCCCAGGCAGUAGAUCCCAGUAUUUCUUUAUCAUUCCACACAUCCUUAUGGCUCCUAAGGAGGCU